rfam:Triticum aestivum genome assembly, contig: Triticum_aestivum_CS42_TGACv1_scaffold_478942_6AL
GUAGUAUUCCCUCCGUCCCAAAUUCCUGUCUUACAUUUGUUUAGAUACGGAUGUAUCUAACACUAAAAUGUAACUAGAUACAUCCGUAUUUAGACAAAUUUAAGACAAGAAUUUUGGGACGGAGGGAGUACAAA